rnacentral:rRNA from 1 species
ACGGAGGAUCCGAGCGUUAUCCGGAUUUAUUGGGUUUAAAGGGUGCGUAGGUGGUUUGAUAAGUCAGCGGUGAAAGUUUGCAGCUUAACUGUAAAAAUGCCGUUGAAACUGUCGGACUUGAGUGUAAAUGAGGUAGGCGGAAUGCGUGGUCUAGCGGUCAAAUGCCUAGAGCGCACGCAGAACUCCGAUUUCGAGGCAACCUUACCAAUCUAAAGCGGCCACUGAAGCACCAACGCGUGGGGAUCAAACAG